UCCUUGGUGGUUUGUUGGCUUAGACUCCAUACUCCCAAUGCAGAGAGCCCAGGUUUGAUUCCUGGUCAGGGAA
rnacentral:tRNA from 1 species